UUUCCGUAGGUGAACCUGCGGAAGGAUCAUUAACGAGGUAGGGUCUUCCAGGCCCGACCUCCCAACCCUAUGUUUAUUGAACCUCUGUUGCUUCGGCGGACCCGCCUCACGGCCGCCGGAGGACCGCUGCAAGGCGUCCUCUGGCCAGCGUCCGCCGAUGGCCAACCACUUAAACUCUGAAUGAAUCGUGUCAUAUGUCUAAGUCUAUGAUUAAAUUAAAGCAAAACUUUCAACAACGGAUCUCUUGGUUCUG
rnacentral:misc_RNA from 1 species